UCCCAGACUCCUACGGGAGGCAGCAGUGGGGGAUAUUGCACAAUGGGGGGAACCCUGAUGCAGCGACGCCGCGUGGGUGAAGGAGCGUUUCGGCGCGUAAAGCCCUAUCGGCAGGGAAGAAGGAGGACGGUACCUGACUAAGAAGCCCCGGCUAACUACGUGCCAGCAGCCGCGGGAAUACGUAGGGGGCAAGCGUUAUCCGGAUUUACUGGGUGUAAAGGGAGCGUAGACGGAUGGAUAAGUCUGAAGUGAAAGCCCGCGGCUCAACUGCGGGACUGCUUUGGAAACUGUGCAUCUUGAGUACGGGAGGGGCAGGCGGAAUUCCUGGUGUAGCGGUGAAAUGCGUAGAUAUCAGGAGGAGCACCGGCGGCGAAGGCGGCCUGCUGGACCGAAACUGACGUUGAGGCUCGAAAGCGUGGGGAGCAAACA
rnacentral:rRNA from 1 species